GAAUUUUUUUUGGAGAGAGAGAGAUAAACAAGGAGGCGAUUUGGAGUUGUUGUUCUUCCACAGAGAUUCGUUCUUCGGGGCGAUAUGGAUGUGGAUGAUGACAAUUAUUAUCAAACAACAACACCAAUUUUAUCUUCUUGGGGUCCUGAUGAUAUUCGGGAUAAAAAAAAAUACAUACCCUUUUUGAAAAACUAUUGCAUGUUUGAAUGGUGAUAUUCAAGGACCGGGGCUUGCCGCUGGAUGGGUUAGUUGAAGAUCAUGAGGAUCGAUCAUAUCUAAGAGACGCAUCGAAGCUGAAGAAUCUUCUUUUUUGUGUGGAUUUCUGUUUAGGUAACAAUAUCGGCAGUAACAAAACGAGUUGCAUCUCACGAUAACAAAGUUGGCGAGGUUAACUGCUAAACCAUCCUAUGGAAAUCCUGCCAUUAUUCAGCAAGAGCUUGGCGUGAUUGAUAUUUUUGUCAGUCUGUGCAGACUAGAGUGGCAGUCUUGCUAUCAUGAAUGUUGGAUUUUUUAUGUAUUUUUGUCGAUGUGUCCAUAGUUGUACACUAGUGUGAAUUAAAAAAAAUUUAAAAGUGAAAAUUAUAUACUCAUAUGGGUACUCUUUUUAUAGAUCUCGAAAAGAGCUUUUCGAAUAUAUAAAGUUUGUAAAUUUUGGAUGAGCGGUUCGAAAGUUAAAUUGUUUUUUAAAUAUUUAUAUAUUAUUUAAAAUUGAUGAUGUCAUCAUGAGUCAU